rnacentral:rRNA from 1 species
GAGUUUGAUCCUGGCUCAGGAUGAACGCUGGCGGCGUGCUUAACACAUGCAAGUCGAACGAAGCACUUUAUUUGAUUUCCUUCGGGACUGAUUAUUUUGUGACUGAGUGGCGGACGGGUGAGUAACGCGUGGGUAACCUGCCUUGUACAGGGGGAUAACAGUUGGAAACGGCUGCUAAUACCGCAUAAGCGCACAGCAUCGCAUGAUGCAGUGUGAAAAACUCCGGUGGUAUAAGAUGGACCCGCGUUGGAUUAGCUAGUUGGUGAGGUAACGGCCCACCAAGGCGACGAUGCAUAGCCGGCCUGAGAGGGCGGACGGCCACAUUGGGACUGAGACACGGCCCAAACUCCUACGGGAGGCAGCAGUAGGGAAUUUUCGUCAAUGGGGGGAACCCUGAACGAGCAAUGCCGCGUGAGUGAGGAAGGUCUUCGGAUCGUAAAGCUCUGUUGUAAGAGAAAAACGGCACUCAUAGGGAAUGAUGAGUGAGUGAUGGUAUCUUACCAGAAAGUCACGGCUAACUACGUGCCAGCAGCCGCGGUAAUUC